GACGAACGCUGGCGGCGUGCUUAACACAUGCAAGUCGAACGGAAAGGCCCUGCUUUCGUGGUGUGCUCGUGUGGCAAACGGGUGUAAAACGCGGGUGUAACCUGCCCUACUCUUUGGUAUAACUUCGGGACACUGGCGAUUAUUCGGGAUAGGCACUCCUGCUGCGUUGUGGGGGUUGGAAUAUUUCGGCGGUGGGGGAUGGUCGCGCGGCUUAUCAGCGUGUGGGUGGGAUAGUGGCAUCCCAAGGCUUUGAGGGGUCGCCGGCCUGAGAGGGUGACCGGCCACAUUGGGACUGAGAUACGGCACAGACUCCUACGGGAGGCAGCAGUGGGGAAUAGUGCACAAUGGGCGGAAGCCUGAUGCAGCAACGCCGCGGGCGAGAUGACGGCCUUCGGGUUGUAAACCUCUUUCGCCUGUGACGAAGCGUGAGUGACGGUAAUGGGUGAAGAAGCACCGGCUAACUACGUG
rnacentral:rRNA from 1 species